rnacentral:rRNA from 1 species
UACGGGGGGGGCAAGCGUUGUUCGGAAUUACUGGGCGUAAAGCGCACGUAGGCGGCUUUCUAAGUCGGGGGUGAAAUCCUGGAGCUCAACUCCAGAACUGCCUUCGAUACUGGAGAGCUCGAGUCCGGGAGAGGUGAGUGGAACUGCGAGUGUAGAGGUGAAAUUCGUAGAUAUUCGCAAGAACACCAGUGGCGAAGGCGGCUCACUGGCCCGGUACUGACGCUGAGGUUCGAAAGCGUGGGGAGCAAACAGG